UGAGGUGUGGUUCAGUGGUAGAGCACCUGCCUAGCAGGCAUGAGGCCCUGGAUGCUAUCUCCAGCACUGCCA
rnacentral:tRNA from 1 species